UACGUAGGAGACGAGCGUUGUCCGGAAUUACUGGGCGUAAAGCGCGUGUAGGCGGAUGGGCAAGUCUGCUGUGAAAGCUCCUGGCUUAACCGGGAGUGGUCGGUGGAAACUGCCAAUCUGGAGGACGGUAGAGGUAGGUAGAAUUCCCGGUGUAGUGGUGAAAUGCGUAGAGAUCGGGGAGGAAUACCUGUGGCGAAGGCGGCCUACUGGGCCGGACCUGACGCUGAGACGCGAAGGCGUGGGGAGCGAACGGGG
rnacentral:rRNA from 1 species